ACUCCUACGGGAGGCAGCAGUGGGGAAUAUUGCACAAUGGGGGAAACCCUGAUGCAGCCAUGCCGCGUGUGUGAAGAAGGCCUUCGGGUUGUAAAGCACUUUCAGUAGGGAGGAAGGUAGUGUAGUUAACACCUGCAUUAUUUGACGUUACCUACAGAAGAAGCACCGGCUAACUCCGUGCCAGCAGCCGCGGUAAUACGGAGGGUGCGAGCGUUAAUCGGAAUUACUGGGCGUAAAGCGCAUGCAGGCGGCCUGUUAAGUCAGAUGUGAAAGCCCGGGGCUUAACCUCGGAAUUGCAUUUGAAACUGGCAGGCUAGAGUCUUGUAGGAGGGGGGUAGGAAUUUCAGGUGUAGCGGUGAAAUGCGUAGAGAU
rnacentral:rRNA from 1 species